UCGAACGGUAACAGGAAGCAGCUUGCUGCUUUGCUGACGAGUGGCGGACGGGUGAGUAAUGUCUGGGAAACUGCCUGAUGGAGGGGGAUAACUACUGGAAACGGUGGCUAAUACCGCAUAACGUCGCAAGACCAAAGAGGGGGACCUUCGGGCCUCUUGCCAUCAGAUGUGCCCAGAUGGGAUUAGCUAGUUGGUGAGGUAACGGCUCACCAAGGCGACGAUCCCUAGCUGGUCUGAGAGGAUGACCAGCCACACUGGAACUGAGACACGGUCCAGACUCCUACGGGAGGCAGCAGUGGGGAAUAUUGCACAAUGGGCGCAAGCCUGAUGCAGCCAUGCCGCGUGUAUGAAGAAGGCCUUCGGGUUGUAAAGUACUUUCAGCGGGGAGGAAGGUGUUGUGGUUAAUAACCGCAGCAAUUGACGUUACCCGCAGAAGAAGCACCGGCUAACUCCGUGCCAGCAGCCGCGGUAAUACGGAGGGUGCAAGCGUUAAUCGGAAUUACUGGGCGUAAAGCGCACGCAGGCGGUCUGUCAAGUCGGAUGUGAAAUCCCCGGGCUCAACCUGGGAACUGCAUUCGAAACUGGCAGGCUUGAGUCUUGUAGAGGGGGGUAGAAUUCCAGGUGUAGCGGUGAAAUGCGUAGAGAUCUGGAGGAAUACCGGUGGCGAAGGCGGCCCCCUGGACAAAGACUGACGCUCAGGUGCGAAAGCGUGGGGAGCAAACAGGAUUAGAUACCCUGGUAGUCCACGCCGUAAACGAUGUCUACUUGGAGGUUGUGCCCUUGAGGCGUGGCUUCCGGAGCUAACGCGUUAAGUAGACCGCCUGGGGAGUACGGCCGCAAGGUUAAAACUCAAAUGAAUUGACGGGGGCCCGCACAAGCGGUGGAGCAUGUGGUUUAAUUCGAUGCAACGCGAAGAACCUUACCUGGUCUUGACAUCCACAGAAGAAUCCAGAGAUGGAUUUGUGCCUUCGGGAACUGUGAGACAGGUGCUGCAUGGCUGUCGUCAGCUCGUGUUGUGAAAUGUUGGGUUAAGUCCCGCAACGAGCGCAACCCUUAUCCUUUGUUGCCAGCGGUCCGGCCGGGAACUCAAAGGAGACUGCCAGUGAUAAACUGGAGGAAGGUGGGGAUGACGUCAAGUCAUCAUGGCCCUUACGACCAGGGCUACACACGUGCUACAAUGGCGCAUACAAAGAGAAGCGACCUCGCGAGAGCAAGCGGACCUCAUAAAGUGCGUCGUAGUCCGGAUUGGAGUCUGCAACUCGACUCCAUGAAGUCGGAAUCGCUAGUAAUCGUGGAUCAGAAUGCCACGGUGAAUACGUUCCCGGGCCUUGUACACACCGCCCGUCACACCAUGGGAGUGGGUUGCAAAAGAAGUAGGUAGCUUAACCUUCGGGAGGGCGCUUACCACUUUGUGAUUCAUGACUGGGGUGAAGUCGUAACAAGGUAACCGUAGGGGAACCUGCGGUUGGAUCACCUCCUUACCUUAAAGAA
rnacentral:rRNA from 1 species